rnacentral:rRNA from 1 species
AGUGAACGCUGGCGGUAGGCCUAACACAUGCAAGUCGAACGGCAGCACAGGAGAGCUUGCUCUCUGGGUGGCGAGUGGCGGACGGGUGAGGAAUACAUCGGAAUCUACUCUGUCGUGGGGGAUAACGUAGGGAAACUUACGCUAAUACCGCAUACGACCUACGGGUGAAAGCAGGGGACCUUCGGGCCUUGCGCGAUUGAAUGAGCCGAUGUCGGAUUAGCUAGUUGGCGGGGUAAAGGCCCACCAAGGCGACGAUCCGUAGCUGGUCUGAGAGGAUGAUCAGCCACACUGGAACUGAGACACGGUCCAGACUCCUACGGGGGGCAGCAGGGGGGAAUAUUGGACAAUGGGCGCAAGCCUGAUCCAGCCAUACCGCGUGGGUGAAGAAGGCCUUCGGGUUGUAAAGCCCUUUUGUUGGGAAAGAAAUCCAGCUGGCUAGUACCCGGUUGGGAUGACGGUACCCAAAGAAUAAGCACCGGCUAACUUCGUGCCAGCAGCCGCAGUAA